rnacentral:rRNA from 1 species
AGUGAACGCUGGCGGUAGGCCUAACACAUGCAAGUCGAACGGCAGCACAGUAAGAGCUUGCUCUUACGGGUGGCGAGUGGCGGACGGGUGAGGAAUACAUCGGAAUCUACUUUUUCGUGGGGGAUAACGUAGGGAAACUCACGCUAAUACCGCAUACGACCUACGGGUGAAAGCAGGGGAUCUUCGGACCUUGCGCGAUUGAAUGAGCCGAUGUCGGAUUAGCUAGUUGGCGGGGUAAAGGCCCACCAAGGCGACGAUCCGUAGCUGGUCUGAGAGGAUGAUCAGCCACACUGGAACUGUGACACGGUCCAGACUCCUACGGGAGGCGGCAGUGGGGAAUAUUGGACAAUGGGCGCAAGCCUGAUCCAGCCAUACCGCGUGGGUGAAGAAGGCCUUCGGGUUGUAAAGCCCUUUUGUUGGGAAAGAAAAGCAGCAGGUUAAUACCCCGCUGUUCUGACGGUACCCAAAGAAUAAGCACCGGCUAACUUCGUG